UGAUCUACUAGCUCAGUCGGUAGAGCACUUGACUUUUAAUCAAGGUGUCCGGGGUUCGAUUCCCCGGUAGUGAU
rnacentral:tRNA from 1 species